AUGUUAUUCUUCAGUAUUUGCAAAGCACUGAUAAAAACAUCUCUCUUCUCUCAAUCUUGCUUCCUUCUUUUCAUUUACUAAAUAGGCUUUUGAGCCUCACAAGACUUUGAGAUUUUAUGGAUAUGAAACCUGCUAUCAUUUAGCAUCCUGCCUCUGGGAAUAGACAUGGAUUCUCACUAUGACACCCAGGCUGGAGUGCAGUGGCACAAUCAUAGCUGACUACAGCCUCGAAUUUCUGGGCUCAAGCAAGGCUUUCAUCUCAACCUCCCCAGGAGCUGGGAUUACAGAUGGUGUCAGAAGCGGGGUUCAAAGUAGAGCUUUAAUGACCCCCAGAAGUGCUGAGUGAACAAGCAAGGUACCUGCAAGGACCCACUUGUGUCCUUUGAUCUCUCAGAGCAGUGGUAUUUACACACAGAUGCUCCAUGAUGGGUCACAUCCAAACUUAUCAUAAAGUCAAAAAAUUUUCUAGAGGCUGAUAAGUCCAAGCAUAUGGUGCCAGCAUCUGGUGAGGCCUUCUUGCUGUGUAAUCUCAUGGCAGAAGAGUGGAAGGACAAGUGAGCACAUGCAAAAGGGAUUGUACAAGGUGCUGAGCUGGCUUUAUUACAACUUGCUCUUGAGAUAACUACCAACUCUGAUGAUAGGACCUUAAUCUAUUCAUAAGGGUGCUGCCUAUGAUUUGAUUACCUCUUAAAGGCCCCACAUCUUAAUACUUUUACAAUGGCAAUUAAAUGUCAACAUGAGUUUCAGUGGAGACAAACAUUCAAACCAUAGCAAAGGCUUAGAAUAGAAUCCUAGGAAUUCCAAAAUUGCCAGACAGAGAAAAAGAUGACAGCUACAGAAUCUGUGAAAUAUGUUCAUCAAAGUAAAAAGAAAUCCAGACAGUCAGUGACCUGUGAGCCAAUGGAAGAGAGAGACCACACAGACUUAUCUUUUAGUCUCCAGAGGCAGAAAAAAAGCAGAAAAGGUUGUUGAAAUUCUUCACAUUGAUUUCAGGGCAAUGAUCUCAAACGGCGCAGUGGGAACCCGCAAAUUUAAGAGCCACCAUCCCGCAGCCAACGAUAAUAUCUGACACUUCCUGACAUCAUGAAAGCCACCAUCUGUCUAUCACCAAAACCCUGUACUUUUUAAAGACUACUUGGCUUGAUCCUUAAUGAAGCUUCAAGUUGAAUGCACAGAUCGCUUUAGAAGGAAUACAAGGAAUAAUUGACACAAG
ensembl:lncRNA novel transcript